rnacentral:rRNA from 1 species
UGGGGAAUAUUGCACAAUGGGGGAAACCCGUACGAUGCAGCGACGCCGCGUGAACGAAGAAGUAUUUCGGUAUGUAAAGUUACUAUCAGCAGGGAAGAUAAUGACGGUACCUGACUAAGAAGCACCGGCUAAAUACGUGCCAGCAGCCGCGGUAAUACGUAUGGUGCAAGCGUUAUCCGGAUUUACUGGGUGUAAAGGGAGCGCAGGCGGUGCGGCAAGUCUGAUGUGAAAGCCCCGGGGCUCAACCCCGGUACUGCAUUGGAAACUGUCGUACUAGAGUGUCGGAGGGGUAAGUGGAAUUCCUAGUGUAGCGGUGAAAUGCGUAGAUAUUAGGAGGAACACCAGCGGCGAAGGCGGCUUACUGGACGAUAACUGACGCUGAGGCUCGAAAGCGUGGGGAGCAAACAGG